rnacentral:rRNA from 1 species
UACAGAGGUCUCAAGCGUUGUUCGGAUUCACUGGGCGUAAAGGGUGCGUAGGUGGUGAGGUAAGUCGGAUGUGAAAUCUCCGAGCUCAACUCGGAAAUGGCAUUGGAAACUACCUUGCUUGAGGGUUGGAGGGGGGACUGGAAUACUUGGUGUAGCAGUGAAAUGCGUAGAUAUCAAGUGGGACACCAGUGGCGAAGGCGAGCCCCUGGACAACUCCUGACACUGAGGCACGAAAGCUAGGGGAGCAAACAGG